UAGAACGGCUCCGACAGUGAGGGAGGAAAGCUGGGGGAGCAAACCGGAUUAGAUACCCGGGNUAGUCCCAGCUGUAAACGAUGCGCGUUAGGNGUAUCGNNGACCACGAGUCACCGAGGUGCCGAAGGGAAACCGUGAAACGUGCCGCCUGGGAAGUACGGUCGCAAGGCUGAAACUUAAAGGAAUCGGCGGGGGAGCACCACAACAGGUGGAGCCUGCGGUUUAAUCGGACUCAACGCCGGAAAGCUCACCGGAUAAGACAGCUGAAUGAUAGCCGGGUUGAAGACUCUGCUUGACUAGCUGAGAGGAGGUGCAUGGCCGUCGUCAGUUCGUACUGUGAAGCAUCCUGUUAAGUCAGGCAACGAGCGAGACCCACGCCAACAGUUGCCAGCAUGUCCUCCGGGAUGGUGGGGACACUGUUGGGACCGCCUCUGCUAAAGAGGAGGAAGGAAUGGGCAACGGUAGGUCAGCAUGCCCCGAAUUAUCCGGNCUACACGCGGGCUACAAUGGUCAGGACAAUGGGUAUCAACACCGAAAGGUGAAGGCAAUCUCCUAAACCUGUCCUUAGUUCGGAUUGUGGGCUGCAACUCGCCCACAUGAAGCUGGAAUCUGUAGUAAUCGCGUCUCAACAUGGCGCGGUGAAUAUGUCCCUGCUCCUUGCACACACCGCCCGUCAAA
rnacentral:rRNA from 1 species